rnacentral:rRNA from 1 species
UACGUAGGUCCCGAGCGUUGUCCGGAUUUAUUGGGCGUAAAGCGAGCGCAGGUGGUUUAUUAAGUCUGGUGUAAAAGGCAGUGGCUCAACCAUUGUAUGCAUUGGAAACUGGUAGACUUGAGUGCAGGAGAGGAGAGUGGAAUUCCAUGUGUAGCGGUGAAAUGCGUAGAUAUAUGGAGGAACACCGGUGGCGAAAGCGGCUCUCUGGCCUGUAACUGACACUGAGGCUCGAAAGUGUGGGUAUCAAACAGG